UACGUAGGGGGCAAGCGUUGUCCGGAUUUAUUGGGCGUAAAGAGCGUGUAGGCGGCCAAGCAGGUCCGCUGUGAAAACUCGAGGCUCAACCUCGAGACGUCGGUUGAAACCACCUGGCUAGAGUCCGGAAGAGGAGAGUGGAAUUCCUGGUGUAGCGGUGAAAUGCGCAGAUAUCAGGAAGAACACCCGUGGCGAAGGCGGCUCUCUGGGACGGUACUGACGCUGAGACGCGAAAGCGUGGGGAGCGAACAGG
rnacentral:rRNA from 1 species